CAAAGGUAACAGAAAGCCCAGAGAAGAAACUGAAUUUAUUAGAGGGAAUUUCAGUUGAAUGGCUGCUUUACAGAGGAGAGAAUAAUGAAGAAAAUGUUGGACACCUCUGAGGACUUUCUGGGAUAGUGUCAGAUCUAAUCUCACAAGCCCUUGGACACGUAAAUAAUCCUGCCUCACACACGGAGCGUCACCUGACGUCAGUGAAUGAUUUGCAGGGGAAAGGAUUACGCACAGGACUAAGGGUUCAGCUGCUAGAAAAUCAACCAACCAAUCCUUGGGGCAGGGCAUGAGAGGAACAACACAUCCUCAUGGUUGGAAGAAACCAAGUCAGGUCUGACUGGUUAAUCACUGCACAUGGUGGUUGCCUGUGGCUUUGUUCCUGUACUUGACUGCAUUUUUAAUUGUCAAGGGCACCUACAGCAGUGUCCAGGCACCGUUUCGGG
rnacentral:lncRNA from 12 species